rnacentral:rRNA from 1 species
AUUCCAGCUCCAAUAGCGUAUAUUAAAGUUGUUGCAGUUAAAAAGCUCGUAGUUGGAUUUCUGGUGCAUUCCACUGGCCUAUUGGUUAACUCCAACUUGGCUCAUUUGGAAUACGCCAUCUUUAGGCAGACCCGUCGUGGCAUUAGGUUGUCGUGAUGGUUACGCCUAUCGUUUACUGUGAAGAAAUUAGGGUGUUCAAAGCAGGCUUAUGCCAUGAAUACGUUAGCAUGGAAUAACGAGAUAGGAUUUCGGUACUAUUUUGUUGGUUUGUGUACGGAAAUAAUGAUUAACAGGAACAGUGUUGUGGGUAUUCGUAUUUCGUUGUCAGAGGUGAAAUUCUUGGAUUUACGAAAGACGAACGACUGCGAAAGCAUUUACCAAGGAUGUUUUCAUUA